CCAGACUGAAAAUCGCCCCCACAGCAUCAGUCAGUGGGGUUGAGAUACCUGUGGCCCACAGUAUAGCGGCUCAUCAAAGCUUAUUGCCAGCGCCAUGUGGCUGGGCAAUCAAACCCAUGGGCCCACACAC